rnacentral:rRNA from 1 species
AGAACUUAGCAGAGAUGCUUGGUGCCUUCGGGAACUCUGAGACAGGUGCUGCAUGGCUGUCGUCAGCUCGUGUUGUGAAAUGUUGGGUUAAGUCCCGCAACGAGCGCAACCCUUAUCCUUUGUUGCCAGCGGUCCGGCCGGGAACUCAAAGGAGACUGCCAGUGAUAAACUGGAGGAAGGUGGGGAUGACGUCAAGUCAUCAUGGCCCUUACGAGUAGGGCUACACACGUGCUACAAUGGCGCAUACAAAGAGAAGCGACCUCGCGAGAGCAAGCGGACCUCAUAAAGUGCGUCGUAGUCCGGAUUGGAGUCUGCAACUCGACUCCAUGAAGUCGGAAUCGCUAGUAAUCGUGGAUCAGAAUGCCACGGUGAAUACGUUCCCGGGCCUUGUACACACCGCCCGUCACACCAUGGGAGUGGGUUGCAAAAGAAGUAGGUAGCUUAACCUUCGGGAGGGCGCUUACCACUUUGUGAUUCAUGACUGGGGUGAAGUCGUAACAAGGUAAGCGUAGUGCU